GAUGAACGCUGGCGGCGUGCUUAACACAUGCAAGUCGAACGAUGAAGCCCAGCUUGCUGGGUGGAUUAGUGGCGAACGGGUGAGUAACACGUGAGUAACCUGCCCUUAACUCUGGGAUAAGCCUGGGAAACUGGGUCUAAUACCGGAUAGGAGCGCCUACCGCAUGGUGGGUGUUGGAAAGAUUUAUCGGUUUUGGAUGGACUCGCGGCCUAUCAGCUUGUUGGUGAGGUAAUGGCUCACCAAGGCGACGACGGGUAGCCGGCCUGAGAGGGUGACCGGCCACACUGGGACUGAGACACGGCCCAGACUCCUACGGGAGGCAGCAGUGGGGAAUAUUGCACAAUGGGCGCAAGCCUGAUGCAGCGACGCCGCGUGAGGGAUGACGGCCUUCGGGUUGUAAACCUCUUUCAGUAGGGAAGAAGCGAAAGUGACGGUACCUGCAGAAGAAGCACCGGCUAACUACGUGCCAGCAGCCGCGGUAAUACGUAGGGUGCGAGCGUUAUCCGGAAUUAUUGGGCGUAAAGAGCUCGUAGCGGUUUGUCGCGUCUGUCGUGAAAGUCCGGGGCUUAACCCCGGAUCUGCGGUGGGUACGGGCAGACUAGAGUGCAGUAGGGGAGACUGGAAUUCCUGGUGUAGCGGUGGAAUGCGCAGAUAUCAGGAGGAACACCGAUGGCGAAGGCAGGUCUCUGGGCUGUAACUGACGCUGAGGAGCGAAAGCAUGGGGAGCGAACAGGAUUAGAUACCCUGGUAGUCCAUGCCGUAAACGUUGGGCACUAGGUGUGGGGACCAUUCCACGGUUUCCGCGCCGCAGCUAACGCAUUAAGUGCCCCGCCUGGGGAGUACGGCCGCAAGGCUAAAACUCAAAGGAAUUGACGGGGGCCCGCACAAGCGGCGGAGCAUGCGGAUUAAUUCGAUGCAACGCGAAGAACCUUACCAAGGCUUGACAUGUUCUCGAUCGCCGUAGAGAUACGGUUUCCCCUUUGGGGCGGGUUCACAGGUGGUGCAUGGUUGUCGUCAGCUCGUGUCGUGAGAUGUUGGGUUAAGUCCCGCAACGAGCGCAACCCUCGUUCCAUGUUGCCAGCACGUCGUGGUGGGGACUCAUGGGAGACUGCCGGGGUCAACUCGGAGGAAGGUGAGGACGACGUCAAAUCAUCAUGCCCCUUAUGUCUUGGGCUUCACGCAUGCUACAAUGGCCGGUACAAUGGGUUGCGAUACUGUGAGGUGGAGCUAAUCCCAAAAAGCCGGUCUCAGUUCGGAUUGGGGUCUGCAACUCGACCCCAUGAAGUCGGAGUCGCUAGUAAUCGCAGAUCAGCAACGCUGCGGUGAAUACGUUCCCGGGCCU
rnacentral:rRNA from 1 species